rnacentral:rRNA from 1 species
UAAUGUCUGGGAAACUGCCUGAUGGAGGGGGAUAACUACUGGAAACGGUGGCUAAUACCGCAUAAUGUCGCAAGACCAAAGUGGGGGACCUUCGGGCCUCAUGCCAUCAGAUGUGCCCAGAUGGGAUUAGCUAGUAGGUGGGGUAACGGCUCACCUAGGCGACGAUCCCUAGCUGGUCUGAGAGGAUGACCAGCCACACUGGAACUGAGACACGGCCCAG